CGCGUAGGCGGGAUGGCAAGUCGGUCGUGAAAUCUCUCGGCUCAACCGAGAAACGUCGGCCGAUACUGCCGUUCUUGAGGGAUGCAGAGGAGACUGGAAUUCCCGGUGUAGCGGUGAAAUGUGUAGAGAUCGGGAGGAACACCGGUGGCGAAGGCGGGUCUCUGGGCAUUUCCUGACGCUGAGGCGCGAAAGCGUGGGGAGCAAACGGGAUUAGAUACCCCGGUAGUCCACGCUGUAAACGAUGACGACUAGGUGUGGGGUGGUUCAGUCCAUUCCGUGCCGCAGCUAACGCAUUAAGUCGUCCGCCUGGGGAGUACGGCCGCAAGGUUGAA
rnacentral:rRNA from 1 species